rnacentral:RNase_P_RNA from 1 species
GCGGAUGGCUGGAUGGCCGCGGGCGGCAAAGCUCGAGGAAAGUCCGGACUCCAUGAAGCAACGGCGCCGGGUAACGCCCGGCCGGCGUAAGCCGAGGGACAGCGCCACAGAAAUCAAACCGCCGGCGGCAGGCGGUAAGGGUGAAACGGUGGGGUAAGAGCCCACCGCGGGACUGGCAACAGGACCGGCACGGCAAGCCCCACCGGGAGCAAUGCCAAAUAGGGGCCUCGCGCGGCUUGUCCGCGGGUGGUUUCAGCCCGAAGGCCCGGGUUGGCAGCUAGAACCUGUUGGUAACAACGGGUCCAGAUGAAUGGUCAUCGAACCGUGGAAACACGGGGAACAGAAUCCGGCUUACAGGCUAUCCGCGCAU